GGCCUGGUGGUGUAGCAGCAACACACUUGCGUGCAAUUCAUUUUCUUCCCUUCCAUUUCAGCAGGAAUCCCUUGUUCGAGCCAAGGUUAGGCCC